GUUGUACUUCCUCCGUUCGGAAAAACUUGUCCCAAUCUUGUUUUUUAAAUGGAUGUAUCUAGCAUUAAUUUGAUGCUAGAUACAUUUGUUUGAGGGACAAAUUUUUUCGGACGGAGGGAGUAUGAA
rfam:Triticum urartu cultivar G1812 contig1019122, whole genome shotgun sequence.